rnacentral:rRNA from 1 species
UGGGGAAUAUUGGACAAUGGGCGCAAGCCUGAUCCAGCCAUGCCGCGUGAGUGAUAAAGGCCCUAGGGUUGUAAAGCUCUUUCACCGGUGAAGAUAAUGACGGUAACCGGAGAAGAAGCCCCGGCUAACUUCGUGCCAGCAGCCGCGGUAAUACGAAGGGGGCUAGCGUUGUUCGGAUUUACUGGGCGUAAAGCGCACGUAGGCGGACUAUUAAGUCAGGGGUGAAAUCCCGGGGCUCAACCCCGGAACUGCCUUUGAUACUGGUAGUCUUGAGUUCGAGAGAGGUGAGUGGAAUUCCGAGUGUAGAGGUGAAAUUCGUAGAUAUUCGGAGGAACACCAGUGGCGAAGGCGGCUCACUGGCUCGAUACUGACGCUGAGGUGCGAAAGCGUGGGGAGCAAACAGG